UAGUUUUCAUUAGCACUUGUUGUCUUCAUGGGAAAUUUACAUAGACAUAAUUAACAGUAAAUAAGCUCCUCCCUAGUAUUUUUAUAUAGCAAAGGAACUGUGAACAUUGGAAAACAUUCCUGAGGUAAAUGUGACACGAUGUGACAUAUUGGUCACAAGCUGUUUUAUUGACGUCUUUCCCCGGUUGAAACACAAAGUGAUUACAUGAGACAUUCUGGUACGUUGUACAAUAUGUUUCAACAUACCUUUGAUGUUCAAGCAUGUUUUUCGAGAUGUAACUUGUAUUGAAGAGGAAGAAAAGACUCGUGCUCCGCGCUGCCGCCUGAACUGAGGCACUACAGUCACUAUUUUUAAACUGUUAAUACGGUAACAUUCAACACAAGAGUGAUUUUCUUCACACACAGUAUGUAUGAGUUCUAGUUUGAACAUAGUUUUCCGCACCUUUUUUGAUUGACAGGAUAUAAUCAGCCCUGAUCAUCGGCAGUUUUUAAACAAUCAGCCGAUGGCCGAUAGUGCUAAUAAUAGCUUUUAUCGGCUGAUACCGAUUGUUGGCCUAUACAUCAGUGCAUCUCUAAUAUAUAAUGUUAGGUAUCAGUCUUUGUGAGAAGUGAGAAACACUACCUGAAACAUUUCUAAAAUGAAAAAAAAAAAAAAAAAUCAUAAAAAUAUUUCUAUAAAAAUGUAAGCAUAUGCAAAAAAGUGCAUAUUUUUUAUUGCAUAAUAAACCAAUUUUAAUAUAGCAGUAUUUUAAAGUAAUAGAAAUAUUUUGAUGUGUGAACAUGCAAAGAAAUGUGUAGCAAUUAUUAAAUGGUUAGCAACAUUAGUUAAAAAGUAAAAAAAUAAUAAUUGAGGUCACAGGGUUUAAGCAGACAGAAAACCACGUUAUUGAACAUAGUUCCAGUGGCCUUUUGCUUACAUUUCUCCUUUUCUUUCUCACCCCUGCAAGGUUCUCCUGCUCUUUCCUGUGCUCAGACAUUAAAUGCCACCUGCUCAUGUGUGUCUCUGGGCAGUGCUGAAGUAGCAGGAUGCCACCUGGCAUUAGCAGUGUGUGUGUGUGUGUGUGUGUGUGUGUGUGUGUGUGUGUGUAAGCCUCCCCUGCAGUGUGUCCUCUGAGUUUGAACAGAACUGGGGCUUAACUCAAACUUUUCCACCCUGAAGAGGGAAGACAGCUGGGCAGAGCAGCUCGCUGUAAACAUGACCGCUAGCAAGACAUUUUCUCUCGUAGUUUCCGUCAGUUGAGCUUUUCGUGACUGUCUCAGGGUCUAAAACAACAAUAUGGCCGUGCUAAAUAUCUCCGGCAUCUGGCAUGAACUUUUCACCCUGUAGGUGAAUGACCCCUGUGCUGCGGCAGGUCCCGUGAUUAAAGGCUCUGACACAGCUGUGGAUGGAUGUGCAAAGGCUGACCGGGAGCCCCGCUCCGUACUUCUUAUCUUUGACAUCCUGUUGGUCAGUGAAUGCCCGGGGGCAAUUGAUCCGUGAACCCUGCUCUCCCCAACAGGAUAACCCUCUUUAUUUGGCAGGGGGUCGGCCCACCUGUCAGGAUCCUAAAGGGAAGAGCUGAUGAGUUUAAAAGCUAGUUAGCUGCUAGCCAACAGCAAUGGAUUACACCUGCGGUGUCCUGCACUGUCACUACCUUUAAGAUCUCUUCUGGUGAUAGAGAGCUCUCCCUCAGCAGGUUCCCGUUAAUAAGCCUGUCAGAGGGGCCAGGGAGAGCCCGUCCAGAGCAGGUUAUCUCCUCGCCGCACACCCACGUCUCCCCCUGACAGCGACUGGCUGGCCGCUCAACGGCCCUUUGAAACCUCAGGAGCGCUGGGCCGCCUUCCGCAGGCCUUCGAGGCAGCCCUGUCAUUUGAACUGGCUAAUUCCGGCAUCAGGGGGGCAGAAAAGGGGCAGAUGACUCGGCGGCUGACAGACCCGUCGGCACAGACCGGUAUGGGACUCGACGGGGGUUGAAUUUUUAAAACAUUCUUUUGUGAGGGAUCUAAAUGCAGAGGGAUUUGUUUUCUCUUUUUCAUGUUCCUCUUCUUUCACUUUCCAGCCAUUGCUUUGGGUUUAAACGCAGGCAUCUCUCCUGAGGUGGUUGUGCAUGUUUCAUUUCGUGUGUGUGGAUUCGUCUGCCCCUCGCAGUGUGAGAAGCUUUUGUGUGCCUGUUUUUUCCAUCUGCGCAGGUCUGUCUGGUAGCGCGAGUCUGGAUUUGUCUGCCCUGCACAGCACGAAAUGUGUGUGUGUGUUUGUGUUUGUGUGAAGAGAUGAGGUCAAUAAUGAAGGUUGAUAUCAUGUGGGAGUUUAAACAGACAGUCUUUAAUAAAUAAUAACCUGUAUGAUUGAAGCUUAGCCAGGUUCUGUACACAGGUGGACAUCUCCUUCAUUUCUGGGAAAUAUAUUAAAAUCCUUUUCAAAAGACGUAAUUGAAAACCCAGGGACAAGAUUAACAACUUGGCGGUUGUGGAAUAUGAUCGUUUAUGAAUAACAAUGCUCCGACUAUUUUGUCUUCUCAUGAAUAUUUAAAAUGUCAAAUAUUAAUCAGAUCUGAGAUGGAAUUUAGCUUGCAGAUAAGAGGUUAAUGCAUGCUGCAGCAGCCACUGUUGUUUUGUUUAUUUAUUUUGGUGGGGUGGGGGGGGGUGGUAUGUAUAAUUUAUGGUAUUUAAGGUAUACAUUUGAUGUGUUGAUGUAUUCCUUGGGAAUUGAACCAAUGAUUUUGGUGUUGCUGCGCUAUGCUUAAUUUCUAAUCUGUUAGACCCCGCCCCUUUCUUACAAUCAACUGCAAGCAAAGACGGCUUAAACCAGUCUAAUGGUGGUUUGCUGGUCUUAGCUGGUUUAGGUUAUUAGGUUAGGUUGUCAUUUUUGGCACUUUUUUUUAGUAUGGUCUGUUCUAAAAUCUAGUUCCAAAGUGAUUCUUCAGAUUCUUCAGGCAGAUGAAACAUUAUGUAUGCCGCCACCUACAGGGCUGGAUGCAAUCAGCAUGGGUAAACUUUUACUUUAUGUAUUUAUCAACACAACAACAACAACAAAAACCAAUGUUAUACUGAAAUUAAAAAUAAAGUGCUUCUUUUCUAAACUUCUGUUCUUAGUACAAAUCAGCAUGAAAUGAAAAUUCACCUUAUGUAUUUUCUUAUCUUUUUGUGUAUAUUUCUUUUUUCGACCUUGUAAUUUAAUUAUAUUUAAUUACAAUUGCGUAAAACUCAAUCUUCUGAAACGACAGACUUCUCUCUGGUGAUGUAUGCCGGACUUCUCCAAUCAUUUAGUCCACUUAAACCCCGCCCCUUUCUUACAGUUGGCCGCAAGCUUGCAUUCAGCUCUUCCUGCGUCCAAUCAAUAACCAGUGGAUUGAAUCAAGUCCCCACCCUACAUUUUCUGUUUUGUUAAUCCGUUUUAGUUGUAUGUACGGCAUCAUUUGGAAGAAAUUAUCUGUUACUC